GCCGCGGUAGCUCAAUGGCUGGGCAUUCGGUUGCAACCCGAAACGAAUGCAGGUUCGAAUCCUGUCCGCGGCUCCA
rnacentral:tRNA from 1 species